UACGGAGGGUGCAAGCGUUAUCCGGAUUUACUGGGUUUAAAGGGUGCGUAGGUGGGUGAAUAAGUCAGCGGUGAAAUCUCCGGGCUUAACUCGGAAACUGCCAUUGAUACUAUUCGUCUUGAAUAUCCUGGAGGUGAGCGGAAUAUGUCAUGUAGCGGUGAAAUGCUUAGAUAUGACAUAGAACACCAAUUGCGAAGGCAGCUCACUACGGGAUCAUUGACACUGAGGCACGAAAGCGUGGGGGAUCAAACAGG
rnacentral:rRNA from 1 species